UACGUAGGUGGCAAGCGUUGUCCGGAAUUAUUGGGCGUAAAGCGCGCGCAGGUGGUUUCUUAAGUCUGAUGUGAAAGCCCACGGCUCAACCGUGGAGGGUCAUUGGAAACUGGGGAACUUGAGUGCAGGAGAGAAGAGUGGAAUUCCACGUGUAGCGGUGAAAUGCGUAGAGAUGUGGAGGAACACCAGUGGCGAAGGCGACUCUUUGGCCUGUAACUGACACUGAGGCGCGAAAAGCGUGGGGGAGCAAACAGG
rnacentral:rRNA from 1 species